rnacentral:rRNA from 1 species
UACGUAGGUGGCGAGCGUUGUCCGGAUUUACUGGGCGUAAAGAGCGCGCAGGCGGUCGUAUAAGUCGCGUGUGAAAGCCCCCGGCUCAACUGGGGAGGGUCACGCGAUACUGCUCGACUCGAAGGCAGGAGAGGGAAGUGGAAUUCCCGGUGUAGUGGUGAAAUGCGUAGAUAUCUGGAGGAACACCGGUGGCGAAGGCGGCAUCCUGGACCGGUAUUGACGCUGAGGCGCGAAAGCUAGGGGAGCAAACGGG